AUGGGAUGCCAACCUUAAAAGGAGAUCAGUUUUGUGUGAGAUUAAGAGUGAUUUUUGGUGUGAAAAACUUGAGAGUGGAGAUGUGAAAAGUUAAGAGUGGGUUGGGCUUCCGUGCGUGAGAAACAGAAGAAGUGUUCUUCCUCUCGGGCAUGAGCUGUGGGUUCUAGAAUUUCAACUCUAGGUUUUAUGAAAAGAAAAUACAGGAGUAAGUCUUGUCCAAUCUUUCACACCACCACCUCCUCGU
rnacentral:lncRNA from 1 species